rnacentral:lncRNA from 1 species
UAUGCUCCAAAUCCAAGCUCCAAGCUUCAACCAUGGAGGAAAAGCAUAAAAAGGGGGAAAGAAAAGUAAAUCCACCAAAAUCCAAGCAAAAAGGGAGAUCAAAUCCAAGUGGGAUGGGGAAGAAGGGUUCCCUACCUCUCUCCCUGCUCCUUCAGCUCAAAAGAAGCCCUAGAGGGCGUGGGGUGCUAAUAUUGUCACGCCCCGUGACCGCUACCAAUUUGGUCCGGCCCCGGGCGCGUCAAACAGACGCCGAACGGACAGGACCUCCCCUGUCCGUCCAAGGCUAACCAACAGAUCAUGUAUAAGAAUUUAUUCAGGAAUCAAUUCAUAAAUACACAAUCAAGAAGCACCACCAGUGCAACAAGACGAGAGCAAGAUACAAGUAUAGAACAUACGAGUAAUGAUAAAAAGAGAACAUCUAUCUAUUACAUUCAUUCAACUAUUAGAUUACAAUUCGAUUAUACAUUGAACUUCCAGAACAUAAUAAAAGGCUUACAUCUUCCAAAAUAUAAACACAAUCACUCAACCUCACCCUAUACAACAUCUACUCUCAAACAUAAUACAGGGUAAGGCUAAUGCAAAAGGUAGGUAGCUAAUGCAACUAGCGCACUAAGCCCUUACCGCGAUCCUCGCCGUGUGAACUCGCGCUCGGCCCCUAAAAUGGGGGGGGGUGAGAACUAACUUCCUUAGUUCCCAGUGGGUUCGGCCGCCGACUCCGCCGAUCUCCCCACUAGGUCCAAGCGGGCAAAAGUAGAUAAUCGAUAGAUAGAUAGAUAAGGAAAGCGAUAAAUGACAGAAGUAAAGCUACGCUACUAUGCCCAAUCAUAAAUAUAUGAAUGCAUGUACAAUGAAAUAGAUAAACAACUAACCCAUUAUCAUGUCCAAAGGUAAAGCUAUUUACUCGUUCAUCAAUCUCAUUUACUUGUUUCUUAAUCUCGUGGCUUCCCUGAAGGAGCCUACUGCUCACUAGCCAUCUCGAAGGUAGGGAGGGUCAACUCGCACUACGAACCGAGACCGUCUGCCGGGGCCCAAAAUAGGCAAUCCCUUGGGACCCAAAAUAGGCGAUCCCACGUGACCAACUCCGGAGCGCACUACUUGUGUGGGGCUUCCAUCACAAGAUUUAAAAAAACAGACCAUGAGCAUGAUCCAAUCCUCAUCUCGAGAAUACCCUAUCCUCUAGGGUUACCAUCAUCAUGUAGUCCAUAGGCAUCGUAUACACCAAGUUUAACAUGCAUCACUUGUUUUCUUAUACACUAUAAACUAGAUUGCCACUCGUCCAUGGUUUACUAUCGACUAGAUGCCACUCGUUCUUUGUUUAUCAUUAGACCAACCAUUGAGCCUAUCUCUUUCUCUGCACUAUAGGAUUCACAAGUCUCGACCCAAUCCUUAUCGAUCCACUAUGUCAAGUAUCCAAUACAUGCUACGAUAUCAUCAAGGAAAGCAUAAGGAAAGGCAAUGCACAGUCAUCCUAUAAUGCAAUAAUACAAGAUGCAGAAUCGAAAUGUACUAAGACAUAGAAGGGAGCCCGAUUGGUUCGGGAUGGACACCACCGACCUCUUGUUGAUGCCGCGAUGAUAGAAACUCGGCGUUGCGGUUCUUGCGCGUCGCCCUAACUCCUCGGGGCGAAGCGAGCCCUCAAGUACCUGAUUCGGCGAUUUCUCCGCACCCGCUCGUCGAAUCGAGAAACCGACUUCGCCGACGCGUUCCGGUACCUAGCAAUUAGG